rnacentral:rRNA from 1 species
GAUGAACGCUAGCGGCAGGCCUAAUACAUGCAAGUCGAACGGAUAUAUGUUUUUCGGAAUAUAUAUUAGUGGCGCACGGGUGAGUAACACGUACAUAACUUGCCCUCAAGCGGGGGAUAGCCUUGGGAAACUGAGAGUAAUACCCCAUAGAAUUAUUGGACGGCAUCGUUUGAUAAUUAAAACUACGGUGCUUGGGGAUAGAUGUGCGUCUGAUUAGCUAGUUGGUGAGGUAACUGCUCACCAAGGCGACGAUCAGUAGGGGGCGUGAGAGCGUGGCCCCCCACACGGGUACUGAGACACGGACCCGACUCCUACGGGAGGCAGCAGUAAGGAAUAUUGGUCAAUGGAGGCAACUCUGAACCAGCCAUGCCGCGUGCAGGAUGACGGCCCUAUGGGUUGUAAACUGCUUUUGUACCAGAGAAAACCUACUCACGUGUGAGUAGCUGAUAGUAUGGUAAGAAUAAGCAUCGGCUAACUUCGUGCCAGCAGCCG